GGGCGUGUGGCGUAGUUUGGUAGCGCGUUCCCUUAGCAUGGGAAAGGUCAUGAGUUCGACUCUUAUCUCGUCCA
rfam:Candida tropicalis MYA-3404 genomic scaffold supercont3.6, whole genome shotgun sequence.